rnacentral:lncRNA from 1 species
GGGGAUCUGGAUGCUUUACGGGGCCAGCUUGGAUGCUCCUCCUUGUGGCCAUUCUCUGGAGCAGCGGAGAGGUCCCACCUGUGCCCCUGCCUCCACCUCCAGGCUGCUGGUGUAUACUGGGAUAAGGAGGGAGGAUGCUUUCCUAAGGUCACAGGACAGUGGGAGGAAAGAUCACAGCUUCCUCUGGCCCACCGCAACUACAGGAACCGCUUACUGCCAUUCACAUCUGCCACGCUGUCUUCGCUGAGCAAGGAUGCCGUGUUCUUCUUACUGGUUCGGAGGUUCAGUGCAGAACACUUAAGCAGACGUGUGCCUUUGAGAAAAGUCACUUUACUUCUCUGGGCUUCAGUUCUCUCAUCUUUAAAACGGGAGUUAUCACGCUCCCCACUCACCUAUCUCCUCUGCUCCUUGCUAGGAUCAAAUGAGAUGAUGAUUAAGAAGGUGCUUUGUCAGCGAAUGCUUUUGCAUCUGAGAGAGUAAGCGUUAAAGUCAUCCCUGCCGUGUCAUCAUUAUUUGAUGUUUCCUCUCCCUCUGCCCAGCCGGAGGAUCUCCCGUGCCCCCAGAGACCUAAGUCCAGGAGCAAAUCUGUUGGUCAGGGGCCCCGAGGGAGGCCAGGAGCUCUGCUGGGAGACUGGAGAGGAACUAGAGGCUGAGUACACUUUGUUCUUGUUCAGGUCUAAGCCUGCCGGCCAGAGCCGGGCACCACACGGUCCACACCUCCUCGUUUAGUGGUCAGACGGGCUCCCAGGUGAGUUCAUGGGCCCUGGGUGUCCAGGCUUGGGCUCUGCCUACCCAGGCUUACACAGAAACCCCCACUCCACCUGAGAGGACACAGGAGGUUCUGGUGGGUCCAGACACCCAGCUCUCUGCCCUAAGCACUCUCCUGAUUUCCACCAGCUCUCGUGUUUGAGGAAGGAAAUGUGGUCUACACACUUUGGUUGAACUGCACAAAAGCUAUCACGAAGCUUUGGAAGAGCCAAUUGUGCUGCGUGUCCCGUUGGGGAAUCUUAGGCCUCUUUUGAAGGCCUUUUUCUCCCCUUCGGGAAAACAGGGAAUCAUGCCGCCCCAGGAGCAACCAACUUGAAAUGUUUAGUGCUUGCUUGUCCUCCCCCCCUGCCCCCCACAAUUGGAAAAGGCCCAAGUCGGUCUCCGCCAGAGCACAGCAAACCCUUACGCCUGGCAAUUAAAGCCCUCCAUGAUUUGCCCCAAGCUAUCUUGAUAGCAGGCAGCCCCUAGCAUCCAAUGAGGCGGGGGCCAUUUGCAGUCAGAACCCACCCGACUAUGAGCUUUCUUGCAGCCUCUGUUUACACUGUUCCCUCUCGCUGACUGCAUUUCAUCCCCACCAGUCCUGGAAUUUUAUCCAUUCUUUAAGAUCCAGCUCCAGCCCAGUCUCUGCCUUCCCUUGAUCGUUCUAAAUGAACGCAUUUCUGGCUGAGGAUUUGGUCCUGAGUGAUGACAGUAAAUGUUACGGAAGAACGAG